UGAAGCAGGACAGAUGGCCGCUCUCCGCUUGCGGAGGGAGGAAAGUCCGGGCUCCAGAGGGCGUGGUGCUGGAUAACGUCCAGCGGGGGUGACCCCAGGGAUAGUGCCACAGAGAGAAGUCCGCCCGUCUCGGCGGGUAAGGGUGAAAGGGUGAGGUAAGAGCUCACCGGGUCCGGCGGUGACGUCGGAUGCCAGGUAAACCCCACCAGGAGCAAGGCCGAAUAGGGAAGCGUCAAGGGUGGCCCGCCCAUGCUUCCGGGUUGGCUGCUUGAGGCCGUCGGUAACGGCGGUCCCAGAGGAAUGGUCAUCGUCCGUCCCGGGGUAACCCGCGGCGGGAACAGAACCCGGCUUACGGACUGCUUCAGCCA
rfam:Geobacter pickeringii strain G13, complete genome.